GCAGUGCUGGUUCAGCGGUAGAAUUCUUGCCUCCCACACAGGAAACCUGGGUUAGAUUUCCAGUCAAUACA
rnacentral:tRNA from 1 species